UACGAAGGGGACUAGCGUUGUUCGGAAUCACUGGGCGUAAAGCGCACGUAGGCGGAUUUGUAAGUCAGGGGUGAAAUCCCGGGGCUCAACCUCGGAACUGCCUUUGAUACUGCGGAUCUCGAGUCCGAUAGAGGUGAGUGGAAUUCCUAGCGUAGAGGUGAAAUUCGUAGAUAUUAGGAAGAACACCAGUGGCGAAGGCGGCUCACUGGAUCGGUACUGACGCUGAGGUGCGAAAGCGUGGGGAGCAAACAGG
rnacentral:rRNA from 1 species